GGGGGGUUGGCGCAAUUGGUAGCGCAUUGGUUUUCGGUUUCUUUCGACGGCUUCACAAUCGGCGAAUUAAGCAUAAUUGAGAUACACCAAAGGUUGCGAGUUCGAUCCUCGUGCCCCUCG